GCAAAACACAGAUUGUUUGGCAUCCGGAUGCCUCAGGAGCUUUUAUUUUGAUCCUCACAGGCCAUCUGGUGCUGGUGUGGAAGAUGGACAAAGAUCUGAGAUGAGGAAACACACAGAUCCACCCCUGCCCCCAAAACCCAAGGAUCAUUGCAGCCAAGAGUCUGUCAAAAUGUAUCAAGAAAGGAAGACAGUUAUAAAUAUUGAUUUUAUAACAGAUGCAUGAAGACUUUUAUUUGCCUAAUGGUAAGAUUAAAUCACUUCCCAUGUGCUUCUACUUUGUCCAACCACUAGAAAAUUUUAAUUUUUGUUAGGAAUGUUCUGGAGACUUUGUUUAAAAAAGAGCUCUAAGUUUUGUUAGUAUGCAAUUAAAAGAUCAAUGGCUAAAAUAACUGAGAAUAACUCUGCUCUUAUAAUGACAUAAAUUACACCUACAACCCCCUUUGACCUAAAACAGUCAAAAGCUCUCCUAGCAAACCCUUUGAUUUUUAAAUACUGGGCAAUUUUAGUUACUUGGUACCAAAACAAACACAUAGAGCAUUUUUAUUUUUAUUUUUAAAAGAUCUUUAGGAAGGGCAUAGCAAUGGCUACAACCAAAGUCAGAGUAUUAUUGUCACCUGGAACAAAGUUACAGUCUUCAUCCACCUUGAACAAGGACUGCACUUAAGAGUAUUAUCCUGAGACUUUGUGAUGCCUCAGUCAUAGCCUGAAUUGGAUUAAUACAUCUCAGCAUCCUUAAUACAGUGUUUGAAAGGAACUCUUCAGUUGCCUCAAUUAUAUAAUUAAAAACCCAUAAACAUCAUUUUCCCUUCAUAUCUUUAUGCUUUAUUAUAAUUCUGCCUGAACAUUUAAAUUCAGUAUUAUUCUCUUUUAGGGUCACUGCUGGAAUAACAUUUCUCAAAACAAUGUCUAUGCAGCAAGUUGCUCUAUCUUAGAGCAACUAUAAGGGCUCUAUGAAAAGUUGAAAUGACAAAUAAGGGAGUGCCCCUUGUGGCUCAGCGGGUUACAAACCCCACUAGCAU
rnacentral:lncRNA from 1 species